GAAAUGCGAUAAGUAGUGUGAAUUGCAGAAUUCAGUGAAUCAUCGAAUCUUUGAACGCACAUUGCGCCCUUUGGUAUUCCAAAGGGCAUGCCUGUUCGAGCGUCAUUUGUACCCUCAAGCUUUGCUUGGUGUUGGGCGUCUUGUCUCUAGCUUUGCUGGAGACUCGCCUUAAAGUAAUUGGCAGCCGGCCUACUGGUUUCGGAACGCAGCACAAGUCGCACUCUCUAUCAGCAAAGGUCUAGCAUCCAUUAAGCCUUUUUUUCAACUUUUGACCUCGGAUCAGGUAGGGAUACCCGCUGAACUUAAGC
rnacentral:misc_RNA from 1 species